UACGGGGGGAGCAAGCGUUGUUCGGAUUUACUGGGCGUAAAGGGCGCGUAGGCGGCCACCGCAAGUCGACUGUGAAAUCCCCGGGCUCAACCUGGGAAUGGCGAUGGAUACUGGGCAGCUAGAGUGUGUCAGAGGAUGGUGGAAUUCCCGGUGUAGCGGUGAAAUGCGUAGAGAUCGGGAGGAACAUCAGUGGCGAAGGCGGCCAUCUGGGACAACACUGACGCUGAAGCACGAAAGCGUGGGGAGCAAACAGG
rnacentral:rRNA from 1 species